GACGAACGCUGGCGGCGUGCUUAACACAUGCAAGUCGAACGGAAAGGCCCUGCUUUUGUGGGGUGCUCGAGUGGCGAACGGGUGAGUAACACGUGAGUAACCUGCCCUUGACUUUGGGAUAACUUCAGGAAACUGGGGCUAAUACCGGAUAGGAGCGCCUGCUGCAUGGUGGGGGUUGGAAAGUUUCGGCGGUUGGGGAUGGACUUUCGGCUUAUCAGCUUGUUGGUGGGGUAGUGGCUUACCAAGGCUUUGACGGGUAGCCGGCCUGAGAGGGUGACCGGCCACAUUGGGACUGAGGUGCGGCCCCGCCUCCUACGGGAGGAAGCAGUGGGGAAUAUUGCACCAUGGGCGGAAGCCUGAUGCAGCAACGCCGCGUGCGGGAUGACGGCCUUCGGGUUGUAAACCGCUUUCGCCUGUGACGAAGCGUGAGUGACGGUAAUGGGUAAAGAAGCACCGGCUAACUACGUG
rnacentral:rRNA from 1 species